UAGGGUUAAUGUUUUGCUACCUGAUACUUUUUAAAUGAGCAUUCUGUGUUGAAUAGAACAGGAAUUGGGUCCUAAAACACAUGAUUUUUGAGUAAAAAAAAACAAAAUUCCCCAAAAUUUUGGGUUUUUUUUGGAGUAGGUCUUUGAAACUUUGUAGACCAUUAGGAUUAAUGUUUUGCUACCUGGUGCUUUUUAAAUGAACACUCUAAGUUGAAUAGAACAGGAAUUGGGUCCUGAAACACAUGAUUUUUGAGUAAAAAAAACCAAAAUUCCCCAAAAUUUUGGGUUUUUUUUGAAGUAGGUCUUUGAAACUUUGUAGAUCAUUAGCAUUAAUGUUUUGCUACCCGGUGCUUUUUAAAUGAACACUCUAAGUUGAAUAGAACAGGAAUUGGGUCCUGAAACACAUGAUUUUUGAGUAAAAAAAACCAAAAUUCCCCAAAAUUUUGGGUUUUUUUUUGGAGUAGGUCUUGGAAACUUUGUAGACCAUUAGGAUUAAUGUUUUGCUACCUGGUGCUUUUUAAAUGAACACUCUAAGUUGAAUAGAACAGGAAUUGGGUCCUGAAACACAUGAUUUUUGAGUAAAAAAAACCAAAAUUCCCCAAAAUUUUGGGUUUUUUUUGGAGUAGGUCUUUGAAACUUUGUAGAUCAUUAGGAUUAAUGUUUUGCUACCUGAUACUUUUUAAAUGAGCAUUCUGUGUUGAAUAGAACAGGAAUUGGGUCCUAAAACACAUGAUUUUUGAGUAAAAAAAACCAAAAUUCC